CCUACGGGAGGCAGCAGUGAGGAAUAUUGGUCAAUGGCCGGAAGGCUGAACCAGCCAUGCCGCGUGAAGGUCAGUGCCCUAUGGGCGUUAAACUUCUUUUGUGCGGGAGCAAUAAUGGUCACGUGUGGCCAGACGAGAGUACCGUACGAAUAAGCAUCGGCUAACUCCGUGCCAGCAGCCGCGGUAAUACGGGGGAUGCAAGCGUUAUCCGGGUGUAUUGGGUUUAAAGGGUGCGUAGGCUGUGAGGUAAGUCAGCGGUGAAAUGCCCCCGCUCGACGGGGUGAAGUGCCAUUGAUACUGCCGUGCUGAAAGGCGGAGGCCGUGGGAGGAAUGUGGGUUGUAGCGGUGAAAGGCAUAGAUAUAACACAGAACACCGAUUGCGAGGGCAUCUGACGAAUCCGCGAUUGACGCGGAUGCACGAAAGCGUGGGUAUCAAACAGGAUUAGAUACCCCGGUGUC
rnacentral:rRNA from 1 species